UCUAGAGAAUGUCACCUCACAAUGAUAUGAUGUUGGCUCCAUUGCACUUAGUUAAGUCAUUCCCACCAUGUUUAGUUCAUGAAGGGGUUCAAGAAUAGCCUCACAAUGAUAUGAUGUUGGCCAUCCUCGUUGCCUACACUCACCUCAUCAAGUAUGUAUAUAGACUCCUCCUGAGUGUAAGCACGCACUUUGUACUCCCCCAUGAUAGGGUGAAGCCGGUGUACGAGUCACAAACGAUCAGAUCUACCACGGUGGAAGGCCACGAAAGAGUGUUCAAAGCACUCUCACGCUUAUCAACUUAAUAAUGGUUUGGUUGAGGGUUUUAGGUCUCAUCACAUAUAAACAUACAUUUUAAUCUUAUUAAAACAAUUUUGGUCCUAUUACAAUUAUUGGUCCAUUUGAUUGUUUUAGUUGUAUAUAAUACUCCCACUAUGCUUAUAAAACGGUUUUUAAAGCAAGAGUAUAUGAUACUACUAACAUAAGGUUUGCAUUCAUUGAUGGACUAUAUAGUUGCCUUAGGGCCUUAGGAUGAUUAUGAACCUUUUAAUUAGAUCCAACACGAGCCUUGUGUUGAAUCUCGGUCUAGGGAUGGUGAUUGAUUUUAGUUACGCGUUUAAUCACAUUAAGGCGUGUUGUCUUAGGGCGUUGGACCCAACUACUUCAUUUUCAUGCAUAUCAAAUAAAGCAAGAAAGAAGUACUUCAAAGUAAAGGUGAGCUUAUGCUCAUUACAACAUUUGCAUAAAUCAAAUUACUUUAAAGUAAAGAAGAGCUUAUGCUCUUUUACAACAUUUGAUCAAAUCAAAUUACAACCAAAAUCUAAUCUACACAUUCCCAUGGUUCAAACAAAUUUGAAACGGCCUUUCACAUAGCUCAAUUAUUGUAGGCUUAGGUUCAUAAUCACCCUUUAAUUAAUUAACACUUUAACUAAUUAAAUUGAAUGCAACAUUUUCAUUUGGUUUUUGUAUCCAUAAAAUUGAUUUAAAUGGAGCUAAAUGAAAUGAAAAUCCAAUUCUCAUUUAAAGAGACAAAACAGUUUUGUUCUCUACGUAAUUUGGGCCAAUAUGCAAUAACCACAACUUUUGGGCUAUAUUGCAAAACUUUUGGGGUCACUUUGUAAAAACACAAAAGUCCACUACUUCAUGUAAUUACAACUAGAACCCAAAAUUUA
rnacentral:lncRNA from 1 species